CAGCAGCCGCGGGAAUACGAAGGGGGCUAGCGUUGUUCGGAAUUACUGGGCGUAAAGGGCGCGUAGGCGGCCGAUCAAGUCAGGCGUGAAAGCCCCGGGCUCAACCUGGGAAUUGCGUUUGGGACUGGUUGGCUUGAGUUCGGGAGAGUAGAGUGGAAUUCCCAGUGUAGAGGUGAAAUUCGUAGAUAUUGGGAAGAACACCGGUGGCGAAGGCGGCUCUCUGGACCGAUACUGACGCUGAGGCGCGAAAGCGUGGGGAGCAAACAGGAUUAGAUACCCCAGUAGUCCCUGUCUCUUAUAC
rnacentral:rRNA from 1 species